CCUACGGGUGGCAGCAGUAGGGAAUAUUGCUCAAUGGGGGAAACCCUGAAGCAGCAACGCCGCGUGGAGGAUGAAGGUUUUCGGAUUGUAAACCUCUGUCAGCAGGGAAGAACGGUCACUGUGCUAAUCAGCAGUGAAUUGACGGUACCUGCAAAGGAAGCACCGGCUAACUCCGUGCCAGCAGCCGCGGUAAUACGGAGGGUGCGAGCGUUAAUCGGAAUUACUGGGCGUAAAGCGCUCGUAGGCGGUAUGUCAAGUCAAGGGUGAAAUCCCCGCGCUCAACGUGGGAACUGCCUUUGAAACUGGCAAACUGGAGUGUGUGAGAGGAUAGUGGAAUUCCAGGUGUAGGAGUGAAAUCCGUAGAUAUCUGGAGGAACAUCAGUGGCGAAGGCGACUAUCUGGCACAUAACUGACGCUGAGGAGCGAAAGCGUGGGUAGCAAACAGGAUUAGAUACCCUGGUAGUC
rnacentral:rRNA from 1 species